rnacentral:tRNA from 1 species
GGGCGGUUAGCUCAGUUGGUAGAGCAGCGGGCUUUUAACCCGUGGGUCGAGGGUUCGACCCCCUCACCGCCCACCA